GGCUUCCUGGUGAUUAACUCUGGCUGCGUUCUUCACACCAACUACACAAAAAGAGGCUGAAGAUUAAAUGUACCCCAUAUAUACAUCAGCCCAGGCCCCUUGAUUGGUCUGUAUUUUGAAUUGGAGGGACAUGG